rnacentral:snoRNA from 2 species
GAGCGAUGAUGAAAAGGCUUUUACUAUGGACCUUUAUAACUAUGAAAGUUUCUACACUUGACCUAAGUUCA